rnacentral:rRNA from 1 species
GAUGAACGCUGGCGGCGUGCCUAAUACAUGCAAGUCGAGCGAACAGAUGAGGAGCUUGCUCCUCUGACGUUAGCGGCGGAAGGGUGAGUAACACGUGGAUAACCUACCUAUAAGACUGGGAUAACUUCGGGAAACCGGAGCUAAUACCGGAUAAAAUAUUGAACCGCAUGGUUCAAUAGUGAAAGACGGUUUUGCUGUCACUUAUAGAUGGAUCCGCGCCGCAUUAGAUAGUUGGUAAGGUAACGGCUUACCAAGGCAACGAUGCGUAGCCGACCUGAGAGGGUGAUCCGCCACACUGGAACUGAGACACGGUCCAGACUCCUACGGGAGGCAGCAGUAGGGAAUCUUCCGCAAUGGGCGAAAGCCUGACGGAGCAACGCCGCGUGAGUGAUGAAGGUCUUCGGAUCGUAAAACUCUGUUAUUCGGGAAGAACAAAUGUGUAAGUAACUAUGCACGUCUUGACGGUACCUAAUCAGAAAGCCACGGCUAACUACGUG